rnacentral:lncRNA from 1 species
AGGUUCACAAUAUCCCACAAACACCAGAGUACAAAAGGAUAGUAUGAACAAUGAAUAGCACAUAUCAGAAGCACACGCGGAACAACAAAACGUACAUGUGCCUUUACGAGUCAAUCCGAAGUAAGCAAUAAUCUUUCACAAUUAUAUUCAGAUUUGAAAGGAAUUGAAAACAAGGGCACAUAUGGUAUCCAAGCAAUCGCAUACAACUCAAUUCAAAUAAAAAGGUUAGAUGAAUUCGAUAUCCAAAGGAAUGAAACUAGAAUAGGCACACAUCGAAAGCAAAUGCGGAACAAUGGGUUAUACAUGUGCCUAUAUAAGUCAAUGUGAUAUAGCAUAAACGUUAC